UAGUAGUUUUAUUCUUGUUAAGUUAUUUAUUUUUACUUGUUUUAUAUGUAAGUUUUUGCGUGAUUAAAUUUAUUCUAAAUGAUUAUUUUUUUUUGUUUCGCAGUAUUUAUUAUUAAAGAUUAAGGUGUCUUAGAUUUGGUAAUGUUUUAUAGUAUUAGUUAAAUUUGUGCCAGCAACUGCGGUUAUACAUUAAAUGCGAUUAAAUAUUUUUGGUUAAAGUAGUUUAAUUGUUAUUAUUUAAUUUAUAGUUUAUAUUUGUUAGGUGAAAUUUUAUUAUUUUUUUUUUGUUAAUUUAUUUUGUUUUGAAGCUACGAAGUCUUUAAUAAAAACUAGGAUUAGAUACCCUAUUAUUUUUGAUGUUAAUUAUUUAACCUGAGUAGUAAUAGAUAUGUUCUUGAAACUUAAAGAAUUUGGCAGUAUUUUAUUCUAUUUAGAGGAACCUGUUCUUUUAUCGAUAAUCCUCGUUGGACCUUACUUAAUUUAUUGAUUUGUAUACCGCCGUUGUAUUGAGGGUCUUUAUAGUGUUUUUAAUUUUCUUAAUUUUAUUUAAAAUUAUUUCAGGUCAAGGUGCAAUUUAUGGUUAAGUAGAAAUGGGUUACGUUUAUAUUUAUUUUUGGAUUAUUAAAUGAAAUUUUAAUAUGAAAUUGGAUUUAAAUGUAAUUAUUAUUUUAGAUUGUAUUAAUGAUUUAGUUUCUAGAGUGUGUACACAUCGCCCGUCACUCUCGUUAUUUAUUCGAGAUAAGUCGUAACAUAGUGGUUGUACCGGAAGGUGUAGCUGGAAUGAUCAAGUUAAUU
rnacentral:ncRNA from 1 species